AAGUCGUAACAAGGUUUCCGUAGGUGAACCUGCGGAAGGAUCAUUAGUGUAAUAUCAGGCACGUCCAACUUAACGUUUGGAGUUCCGAACUCUCACUUUCUAACCCUGUGCAUUUGUUUGGGAUAGUAAUCUCUCGCAAGUAGGGCAGAACUCCUAUUCACUUAUAAACACAAAGUCUAUGAAUGUAUUAAAUUUUAUAACAAAAUAAAA
rnacentral:misc_RNA from 1 species